rnacentral:rRNA from 1 species
AGUGAACGCUGGCGGUAGGCCUAACACAUGCAAGUCGAACGGCAGCACAGUAAGAGCUUGCUCUUACGGGUGGCGAGUGGCGGACGGGUGAGGAAUACAUCGGAAUCUACUUUUUCGUGGGGGAUAACGUAGGGAAACUUACGCUAAUACCGCAUACGACCUACGGGUGAAAGCAGGGGAUCUUCGGACCUUGCGCGAUUGAAUGAGCCGAUGUCGGAUUAGCUAGUUGGCGGGGUAAAGGCCCACCAAGGCGACGAUCCAUAGCUGGUCUGAGAAGAUGAUCAGCCACACUGGAACUGAGACACGGUCCAGACUCCUACGGGAGGCAGCAGUGGGGAAUAUUGGACAAUGGACGAAAGCCUGAUCCAGCCAUACCGCGUGGGUGAAGCAGGCCUUCGGGUUGUAAAGCCCUUUUGUUGGGAAAGAAAAGCAGCAGGUUAAUACCCCGCUGUUCUGACGGUACCCAAAGAAUAAGCACCGGCUAACUUCGUG